GACGAACGCUGGCGGCGUGCUUAACACAUGCAAGUCGAACGGAAAGGCCCUGCUUUUGUGGGGUGCUCGAGUGGCGAACGGGUGAGUAACACGUGAGUAACCUGCCCUUGACUUUGGGAUAACUUCAGGAAACUGGGGCUAAUACCGGAUAGGAGCUCCUGCUGCGUGGUGGGGGUUGGAAAGUUUCGGCGGUUGGGGAUGGACUCGCGGCUUAUCAGCUUGUUGGUGGGGUAGUGGCUUACCAAGGCUUUGACGGGUAGCCGGCCUGAGAGGGUGACCGGCCACAUUGGGACUGAGAUACGGCCCAGACUCCUACGGGAGGCAGCAGUGGGGAAUAUUGCACAAUGGGCGGAAGCCUGAUGCAGCAACGCCGCGUGCGGGAUGACGGCCUUCGGGUUGUAAACCGCUUUCGCCUGUGACGAAGCGUGAGUGACGGUAAUGGGUAAAGAAGCACCGGCUAACUACGUGCCAGCAGCCGCGGUGAUACGUAGGGUGCGAGCGUUGUCCGGAUUUAUUGGGCGUAAAGGGCUCGUAGGUGGUUGAUCGCGUCGGAAGUGUAAUCUUGGGGCUUAACCCUGAGCGUGCUUUCGAUACGGGUUGACUUGAGGAAUGUAGGGGAGAAUGGAAUUCCUGGUGGAGCGGUGGAAUGCGCAGAUAUCAGGAGGAACACCAGUGGCGAAGGCGGUUCUCUGGGCCUUUCCUGACGCUGAGGAGCGAAAGCGUGGGGAGCGAACAGGCUUAGAUACCCUGGUAGUCCACGCUGUAAACGGUGGGUACUAGGUGUGGGGUCCAUUCCACGGGUUCCGUGCCGUAGCUAACGCUUUAAGUACCCCGCCUGGGGAGUACGGCCGCAGGGCUAAAACUCAAAGGAAUUGACGGGGCCCCGCACAAGCGGCGGAGCAUGCGGAUUAAUUCGAUGCAACGCGUAGAACCUUACCUGGGUUUGACAUGGAUCGGGAGUGCACAGAGAUGGGUGUGCCUCUUUUGGGGUCGGUUCACAGGUGGUGCAUGGCUGUCGUCAGCUCGUGUCGUGAGAUGUUGGGUUAAGUCCCGCAACGAGCGCAACCCUUGUUCACUGUUGCCAGCACGUUAUGGUGGGGACUCAGUGGAGACCGCCGGGGUCAACUCGGAGGAAGGUGGGGAUGACGUCAAGUCAUCAUGCCCCUUAUGUCCAGGGCUUCACGCAUGCUACAAUGGCUGGUACAGAGAGUGGCGAGCCUGUGAGGGUGAGCGAAUCUCGGAAAGCCGGUCUCAGUUCGGAUUGGGGUCUGCAACUCGACCUCAUGAAGUCGGAGUCGCUAGUAAUCGCAGAUCAGCAACGCUGCGGUGAAUACGUUCCCGGGGCU
rnacentral:rRNA from 1 species